UACGUAGGCAGCAAGCGUUGUCCGGAAUCAUUGGGCGUAAAGAGCGUGUAGGCGGCCCGGUAAGUCCGCUGUGAAAGUCCAGGGCUCAACCCUGGGAUGCCGGUGGAUACUGUCGGGCUCGAGUCCGGAAGAGGAGUGUGGAAUUCCUGGUGUAGCGGUGAAAUGCGCAGAUAUCAGGAGGAACACCAAUGGCGAAGGCAGCACUCUGGGACGUGACUGACGCUGAGACGCGAAAGCGUGGGGAGCAAACAGG
rnacentral:rRNA from 1 species